rnacentral:rRNA from 1 species
UACGUAGGGUGCGAGCGUUGUCCGGAAUUAUUGGGCGUAAAGGGCUCGUAGGCGGUUUGUCGCGUCGGGAGUGAAAUCCACUGGCUUAACUGGUGGCUUGCUUUCGAUACGGGCAGACUGGAGGUAUGCAGGGGAGAACGGAAUUCCUGGUGUAGCGGUGAAAUGCGCAGAUAUCAGGAGGAACACCGGUGGCGAAGGCGGUUCCCUGGUCCGAUUCUGACGCUGAGACGCGAAAGCGCGGGGAGCGAACGGG